UACAGAGGGUGCAAACGUUGCUCGGAAUUAUUGGGCGUAAAGCGCACGUAGGCGGUUCGUUAAGUCAGAUGUGAAAGCCCCGGGCUCAACUCGGGAAGUGCAUUUGAAACUGGCGGGCUUGAAUAUGGAAGAGGGUCGCGGAAUUCCCGGUGUGAGAGGUGAAAUUCGUAGAUAUCGGGAGGAACACCAGUGGCGAAGGCGGCGACCUGGGCCAAUAUUGACGCUCAUGCACGAAAGCGUGGGGAGCAAACAGG
rnacentral:rRNA from 1 species